rnacentral:rRNA from 1 species
CGCCAGACUCCUACGGGAGGCAGCAGUGGGGAAUAUUGCACAAUGGGGGAAACCCUGAUGCAGCGACGCCGCGUGAGUGAAGAAGUAUUUCGGUAUGUAAAGCUCUAUCAGCAGGGAAGAAAAUGACGGUACCUGACUAAGAAGCCCCGGCUAACUACGUGCCAGCAGCCGCGGUAAUACGUAGGGGGCAAGCGUUAUCCGGAUUUACUGGGUGUAAAGGGAGCGUAGACGGCAUGGCAAGUCAGAUGUGAAAGCCCGGGGCUCAACCCCGGGACUGCAUUUGAAACUGUCAGGCUGGAGUGCAGGAGAGGUAAGUGGAAUUCCUAGUGUAGCGGUGAAAUGCAUAGAUAUUAGGAGGAACACCAGUGGCGAAGGCGGCUUACUGGACUGUAACUGACGUUGAGGCUCGAAAGCGUGGGGAGCAAACAGGAUUAGAUACCCUAGUA